UACGUAUGGGGCGAGCGUUAUUCGGAUUCAUUGGGCGUAAAGCGCAUGUAGGUGGUCCUUUAAGUCGAUGGUGAAAUUUUCAGGCUCAACCUGAAAACCGCUGUCGAUACUGAGGGACUUGAGUUCAGGAGAGGAGAAUGGAAUUCCAGGUGUAGGGGUGAAAUCUGUAGAUAUCUGGAAGAACACCAGUGGCGAAGGCGAUUCUCUGGCCUGAAACUGACACUGAGAUGCGAAAGCUAGGGGAUCAAAC
rnacentral:rRNA from 1 species